rnacentral:rRNA from 1 species
UAGGGAAUCUUCGGCAAUGGGGGCAACCCUGACCGAGCAACGCCGCGUGAGUGAAGAAGGUUUUCGGAUCGUAAAGCUCUGUUGUAAGUCAAGAACGGGUGUGAGAGUGGAAAGUUCACACUGUGACGGUAGCUUACCAGAAAGGGACGGCUAACUACGUGCCAGCAGCCGCGGUAAUACGUAGGUCCCGAGCGUUGUCCGGAUUUAUUGGGCGUAAAGCGAGCGCAGGCGGUUUGAUAAGUCUGAAGUUAAAGGCUGUGGCUCAACCAUAGUUCGCUUUGGAAACUGUCAAACUUGAGUGCAGAAGGGGAGAGUGGAAUUCCAUGUGUAGCGGUGAAAUGCGUAGAUAUAUGGAGGAACACCGGUGGCGAAAGCGGCUCUCUGGUCUGUAACUGACGCUGAGGCUCGAAAGCGUGGGGAGCGAACAGGAUUAGAUACCCUGGUAGUCCACGCCGUAAACGAUGAGUGCUAGGUGUUGGAUCCUUUCCGGGAUUCAGUGCCGAAGCUAACGCAUUAAGCACUCCGCCUGGGGAGUACGACCGCAAGG